GAUGCUGUGGGUAAUGGACCGAGUGACGUGGGUGUUGGUCACCAUGCUGUUCCUUGAACCAGGGUGUUUGCCUUGCUUAAAAGGCAACAUUUGGUGCCGGAAACCCGGGAGAAAGCGGGAUUCAAACCCAGAAAGCGAGGAUUACCUGGAAAACGGGAGUAGUGGUCAGGACCAGCUGGACUAGUCCUGGCGAGGGAGACAUCCCUGCAUCCAGAAGGAAGAUGGAAGCCCUGAUAAAGUGCCGGAAGGAGGCGGUGAACCACCAGACAACCUGAAGACACCCAAAACUGCUGAGCCUGUGAAACCCAAGCGACAACGACUUCUGUAUGUAAUCUUGCUUUUAGGACUUGUUAGCAGCGAGCAGGUUAGUGCAGAACAUAACCCCCAUCAACUAUUCAGGUGGAUCUUACACUGUGCCUCAAACGAGGUGAUUAAAGAGGUAGUCACAGCAGGCACCCCAAGGUUCCUUGUGCUCAUUCGAGACAUUUUCCCUGGUAUAGUAACUCAUAACAUCCACCCUCGCUUUGAGCUGUACCAGUCAUACUGGUGCCCAGCCACCAACCCAGGCAGACUACUGCCGCCAACUAGGGUAUUGGUUUUGUGGCUAUUGGGGGUGCAAAACAAUAGACGAGUUUCUGCAAGUAACCUGGGGUCCAGCAGGCUGUUUGCGUCCCAGUUUCAACUCCAUAGGGCAAGUGUUUUAUGGCUUUUAUGAUGACCAAUCUAAAGUCUGUCAUAAAAUGAUCAUGCAGGUCCUGCAGCCAGCAGAUGUGGGUUGGACCACUGGAAGAAUGUGGUCAGUAUUCUUGCACAAGCCUGGCAAAGAUCCCGGUGAAGUAGUACAAAUUAUCCGACUCCCAGUCAUGACACCUGAAGCAAUUGGCCCCAACCUUGUGGUAGAGGCUGAGAACCCAUGAUCUAAUAGUCUGUACCCGCUGCAUAAAUGAGAAGCUUCUCCCCAAAGAUCUGAAGCCACUGCUUUCGAUUCACUCUAUCGAAUAUUAGAUGUCACCUUUUUACCUCUAAAUCCAACCCCAAUGCCACAGAAUCCUGCUGGCUGUGUUAUGACACACAACCCCCUUACUAUGAGGCUG
rnacentral:lncRNA from 1 species